CCUACGGGUGACAGCAGUGAGGAAUCUUGGUCAAUGGGCGCGAGCCUGAACCAGCCAAGUAGCGUGAAGGAUGACUGCCCUACGAGCUGUAAACUUCUUUUAUAAAGAAGUAAAGUCAGGCGCGUAAGCCUUUUUGUAUCUACUUUAUGAAUCAGGAACGGCUAACUUCGUUCCAGCCGCCGCGGUAAUACGGAGGAUCCGAGCGUUAUCCGGAUUUAUUGGGUUUAAAGGGCGCGUAGAUGGGUUGUUAAGUCAGUUGUGAAAGUUUGCGGCUCAACCGUAGCAGUGCACUUGAUACUGGCAGACUUGAGUGCAGUUGAGGUAGGCGGAAUUCGAGGUGUAGCGGUGAAAUGCUUAGAUAUAACGAAGAACACCAGUUGCGAAGGCAGCUUAUUAAACUGCAACUGACACUGAUGCUCGAAAGUGUGGGUAUCAAACAGGAUUAGAUACCCGUGUAGUC
rnacentral:rRNA from 1 species